GAUGAACGCUGGCGGCGUGCCUAAUACAUGCAAGUCGAGCGAACGGACGAGAAGCUUGCUUUUCUGAUGUUAGCGGCGGACGGGUGAGUAACACGUGGAUAACCUACCUAUAAGACUGGGAUAACUUCGGGAAACCGGAGCUAAUACCGGAUAAUAUUUUGAACCGUAUGGUUCAAAAGUUAAAGACGGUCUUGCUGUCACUGAGAGAUGGAUCCGCGCUGCAUUAGCUAGUUGGUAAGGUAACGGCUUACCAAGGCAACGAUGCAUAGCCGACCUGAGAGGGUGAUCGGCCACACUGGAACUGAGACACGGUCCAGACCACUACGGGAGGCAGCAGUAGGGAAUCUUCCGCAAUGGGCGAAAGCCUGACGGAGCAAAGCCGCGUGAGUGAUGAAGGUCUUCGGAUCGUAAAACUCUGUUAUUAGGGAAGAACAUAUGUGUAAGUAACUGUGCACAUCUUGACGGUACCUAAUCAGAAAGCCACGGCUAACUACGUG
rnacentral:rRNA from 1 species